rnacentral:rRNA from 1 species
AGGGUCUGCAUGUCUAGUAUACGCAUUAUACCGCGAAACUGCCAAUGGCUCAUUAAAUCAGUUAUCGUUUAUUUGAUAGUACCUUACUACUUGGAUAACCGUGGUAAUUCUAGAGCUAAUACAUGCUUAAAACCCCGACUCACGGAGGGGUGUAUUUAUUAUAUUAUAAACCAAUGCCCUUCCGGGCUUUUUGGAGAUUCAUAAUAACUUCUCGAAUCGCAUGGUCUUGUGCCGGAUAUGGUUCAUUCAAAUUUCUGCCCUAUCAACUUUCUAUGGCAAGGUCUUGGCCUGCCAUGGUUACAACGGGUAACGGAGGGUUAGGGCUCGACCCCAGAGAAAGAGCCUGAAAAACGGCUACUACAUCCAAAGAAGGCAGCAGGCGCGCAAAUUACCCAAUCCCGAUACGGAGAGGUAGUGACAAUAAAUACUGAUACAGGGCUCUUUUGGGUCUUGUAAUUGGAAUGAGUACAAUUUAAAUCCCUUAACGAGGAACAAUUGGGAGGGCAAGUCUGGUGCCAGCAGCCGCGAAUAAUUCCAGCUCCAAUAGCGUAUAUUAAAGUUGUUGCAAUUAAAAAGCUCGUAGUUGAACCUUGGCCCUGGCUGGCCGGUCCUCCUCACCGCGUGCACUGGUUCGGCCAGGUCUUUCCCUCUGGGGAAUCCCAUGCCCUUCACUGGGUGUGGCGAGUAACCAUGACUUUUACUGUGAAAAAAUUAAAAGUGUUCCAUAGCACGCCCUAUGCUCAAAUACAUUAGCAUGGAAAUAAUAGAAUAGGACGUGUGGUGUUAUUUUUGUUGAAUUUCUAGGACCGAUCAAAAUGAUCAAUAGGGGACAGUCGGGGAUCAUCCACUAUUCAAUUUGUCAAUAGUUGAAAUUUCUUGGAAUUUAUUGAAACACUAAACUACUGUCUAAAAGCAUUUUGCCCAAGGGAUGUUUUUCCAUUAAAUCAGGGAAACGAAAAGUUUAAGGGGGAUCUUAAGAACCCAUCCAGAAUACCCGUCGUAGUUCUUUAAACCAUAAAACUACUGCACGUACUUACGGAAUCCGGAACUAAUGUUUAUUUUUUUUUGAACUCCGUUUCCGGCCAACCUUUAACCAAAAAAAUUCAAAAGGUUUUUUUGGGGGUUCCUAGGAAGGGGAACUAAAGGGUCCGCCAAAGGCUUUGAAAAACUUUUUUAGGAAAAAUUUGGACCCGAAAAGGGCCCACCCACCCCGAAGGGCUUUGGGAAGCCCUUGCCUGUGUUUUAAUUUUUUUGAACUUCCAAAAAAACGGGGGAAAAAAAGUUCCCCCC